CUCUCACUGGGAGCUGCUGAAGAGUCGACACGCAGCAGCAUCGACAGGUGAAAUGAAGGUUCUAAUCUCUUCCCUCCUCCUGUUGUUGCCACUAAUGCUGAUGUCCGUGGUCUCCAGCAGCUCACACACAGGGGUUGCCGGAGGCCAGAGGGACCAAUGCCAGGCUUCUGGGAGGUGGCUCCAAGAAGGAGGCCAAGAAUGACACCAAAGACACCACAGGAAGCCAACCAUGCCCUCCAGAGCUUUGACAGCAAUUUCUCAAUGUCAGCUGGCAAGCUUUGCUCUGCCUUUAUAGGUGCUCUGAGACCCCAUCCUCCCAAUGAAACAUUCUCAGUCAACAAGGCCGUGAGCGCACCUAGAAGAUGCUCUUCUUCCACCUCAGGUUCCCCACCACAGUCCCUAGUCCCUAAACCAUUCUAGUAUUCGCAAAAAAAAAAAAAAAAAAAAAAAAAAACAUUAUCG